rnacentral:misc_RNA from 1 species
GGAAGAUGAUAAUCGGCACAAAGACAAGCUUAGUGGGUGGCAAGUGCCAAUUUUUCUCACUGAUUUCUCUCUCUCUACUUUCUUCUUCCCUCUUUAUUUAACCUUUUCUGCUUUAUCUCUCUUUCACAUUCAAUCUAAUUGCAUUGGUUUUGCGUACACUAAGCAAAGAUCUCUCUCUCCCUCAGUAUCUGUGUUCCUCUCCUUGCUUUCUCUCUCUUUCCUGUAUCUGUUUAUUCUUUGAUUCAUUUAGUAGACCCUUUAGAGUUUAGAGGCUUAACAAGAGUUCUGAAGAAGGUAAGGCGAUGGCAGCUCCAAAACCAG